rnacentral:rRNA from 1 species
GAAUAUUGGACAAUGGGCGCAAGCCUGAUCCAGCCAUGCCGCGUGAGUGAUGAAGGCCUUCGGGUCGUAAAGCCCUUUUGUGGGGGAAGAUGAUGACGGUACCCCACGAAUAAGCCACGGCUAACUACGUGCCAGCAGCCGCGGUAAUACGUAGGUGGCGAGCGUUGUCCGGAUUGACUGGGCGUAAAGGGCGUGCAGGCGGUUCGUUUAGUUCGAGGUGAAAGCUCCCGGCUCAACUGGGAGAGGUCCCCGGAUACUGGCGGACUUGAGGGAGGCAGAGGAAAGUGGAAUUCCCGGUGUAGUGGUGAUAUGCGUAGAUAUCGGGAGGAACACCAGUGGCGAAGGCGGCUUUCUGGGCCUUACCUGACGCUGAGACGCGAAAGCGUGGGGAGCGAACCGG